UACGUAGGUGGCAAGCGUUGUCCGGAUUUAUUGGGUUUAAAGGGUGCGUAGGCGGCCCGUUAAGUCAGUGGUGAAAGCCUCCAGCUCAACUGGAGAACUGCCAUUGAUACUGACGGGCUUGAGUACAGACGAGGUUGGCGGAAUUGAUUGUGUAGCGGUGAAAUGCAUAGAUACAAUCAAGAACUCCGAUUGCGGAGGCAGCUAACUAGGCUGUAACUGACGCUGAGGCACGAAAGCGUGGUGAGCGAACAGG
rnacentral:rRNA from 1 species